rnacentral:rRNA from 1 species
UACGAGUGCCCCAAGCGUUAUCCGGAAUCAUUGGGCGUAAAGGGUGUGUAGGCGGUUUUGUUAGUCUUCUGUUAAAUUCUUCGGCUUAACCGGGGGCAUGCAGGGGAAACGGCACAACUAGAGGAUGCGAGAGGUGAAUGGAACUCAUGGAGUAGGGGUGAAAUCCGUUGAUAUCAUGGGGAACACCAAAAGCGAAGGCAAUGCACUGGCGCACUCCUGACGCUGAGACACGAAAGCGUAGGUAGCGAAUGGG